rnacentral:lncRNA from 1 species
AUAUAUAUAUAUAUAUAUAUAGGUGAGAAAUUUUCUCGCUUUCAUGAUAAUGAUAGAUAGAUAGAAUAUGUGUGUGUGUAGGUCAAAAUAUGAAUUUUGGUAUACUUGAAAGUGGUGUCGUGUCCCACGAGAAAAGAUUCCAAUCAAGAUUAUAAUGCUUUAUAAUUAUCCCAUUCAAAGUUAAAAGGAAUCUACUUUAUCCAUUUUUAACCAAACAAACAAAAACACAACACACACACGUGGUUGCCAUCCUUUAGAGUUAGGAAACCAAAUUUAUUCAAAUACCAAACAAAUAACAACUUCAUACUUCAAUAACUUGGGGGUUGAGGUAUCCGAAUCAACUUCUUCUUGGGUUUAAAAUUAGAUAAUUAACUAUGAGUUAUCCAACGAGCUCCAUAUUGAUAUACUUAUCUUUGUCCUAUUAAUAUCUAAACAUUUCAAUAAAAUUGUAUUAAUACAUAUAUCACUUUAGUUCCUCCAACUUUUCAAAAUUAAAAAAUACACCAUAUAAAAUAAUUAAUUCUAUUCUAUGAAAAUUUUCGGGACUUUACAAAGAACGAGAAGGAUUGCAGCAGUUAGACACUCGAUUGCUAAGUAAAGUAGACGUCUACUUUGUAGUUCAGCACCGAAAAGAUUCAGUAAGGUCUCAUUCAUUCUUUUGCAAGCUCAUUAAGUUGGUUUGCAAGUUUUAAUUGGUACUGUCGAUUCACGUACUCCGAAAAGCUCUACUAUCUAUCUGAAUAAUUUACUUGAGUUCUAUUGCACUUGUUGAGCUCUAUUUUUUCGGCUUCCCUAAAAUUAAAUGUCUUGAAGUUGGUAGAUACCUAACCACUAUUUCAUUCAGAAUGAGUCCUUGGGACCUCAAGACAUUGGCUUUCCCUGCAGUGAACUAUUAAGGAUCGCAUCCUGCAUAGUUAAUCCCAUUCUGCUAUGAGAAAGCAUGAGAAAUCGCACCCAAAUACUUUGAAAUGUGAAAGAGUAUGCUCACUUUUGUACAAUACCUGAUAUGGUAAUAGAAAACCAAGCUUUUUUCUUUUUGGAUUAAACGACAAUUCUAGUGCUGCGGUGCAUUUGUUCCUUUGCUUGACAGCUACCCUUAAUUUAACUACGCCUUCCAUCAGUAUGAGUAAAUGGGUUUCCCAGCUCCCGAUCUUUCUCAUCUUCUCAUUCUCAUCAUCAAAAUGAAUCUUCUAUUUGUAUAAUAGGUCCAGAGGAUAAUUUCACUAGAAGAUAGAGAUUUUGUUCCUCUAAAGGAAAGAGAAUUGUCUUCCCAAUUAAACAGAGGGUUUGUUUCAUCAGAAAAUGAUUUUGUUGAAGUGAAAUUUCAAAUUGGAUCGACUAAAACAAGUAUCCGAACUUGGUUGGCCUUUCUGUUAGGAAAUUAGACCACUACUAAUUUCGCCAGGAUCAGUGGGACGCAAAAUAAUUUGAACUGAGAAGAAAUAGAUGUAGCAAAAAUAAUAAGUGCAAGUGACACAAGAAUUUACGUGGUUCGGCAUCGUGCCUACGUCCACAAACCUACACCAAUUUUUUUACUGUAUCAACAAGAGAAUAAAAGGAAUACAACAAAUACACUCUCUGUAUUUUAUUUGCCUAUGCAAAGACAAUCUCUCAAUUUUCUCUCGUUAAUUUUCUACACAAACGAAAGCCUAACUGCUUCUCACUUUGUGUUUUGCUCACUAUCUCUCGUGUUUUCACUCUACACGAUUUUCUUGCACUUCUCUUUUGCUCUCGUUUUGGCACACUCCUUUCCUCCUACUUUGGCUCCAAUUUAUAGGAAAAUUUUCACCUUCCUCAUUAAAUGCAUAUCCAUCAAUUUUCAACAAAAUUGGCUCCCAUAAAUGCAUGGCAAGAAAUUUCUUCCAAAAAAUUCGGCUGCAUGGUUUUCAUCUUUUCCAUUCACAUUCUAUUUCAACAUUUG